rnacentral:rRNA from 1 species
UACGUAGGGGGCAAGCGUUGUCCGGAUUUAUUGGGCGUAAAGAGCGUGUAGGCGGCCAUACAGGUCCGUUGUGAAAACUCGAGGCUCAACCUCGAGACGUCGAUGGAAACCAUCUGGCUAGAGUCCGGAAGAGGAGAGUGGAAUUCCUGGUGUAGCGGUGAAAUGCGCAGAUAUCAGGAAGAACACCCGUGGCGAAGGCGGCUUCUUGGGCCGUUUCUGACGCUGAGGCGCGAAAGCCAGGGGAGCGAACGGG